AUGCUUUGGCAGUACAUAUACUAAAAUCAAACUGAUACAAAGAAAAUUAGCAUGGACCCUGCACAAGGAUGACAUGUAAGUUCAUGAAGUAUUCCAUUUUUUU
ensembl:snRNA U6 U6 spliceosomal RNA